UGUAGUGAGAUAUGUGUAGAGAUGGGGAGGCAUCACGGUGGAGGAGGCGUCUUCGUGGACAAAGACUGACGCUCAGGUGAAAAAGUGGGGAGAACACACAGUAUUAGAUCCCGGUGUAGUCCACGCUGUAAGAGAUGUGGAAUUGAGGAGUGCCUUUGACGCGUAGUUUCCGAAGUUAACCAUUUAACUCUACCCCUUGGGGAGUCCGUCCGCAAGGUUAAAAUUCAAAUGAAUUGUGGGGGGCCUGCCCAAGCGGUGGACCAUGUGGUUUAAUUGGAUGCAACGSGAAGACCUUUCCAUGUUYUUGCCUUCUAGAGAACUUUUCAAAAAUGAAUUGGUCCCUUCGGGAACUAGAAGACAGGUUGGGCAAGGGUGUUGUCAGCUUGUGUUGUGAAAUGUUGGGUUAAAUUCCGCCACGAGGGCCACCCUUAUCUUUUGUUGCCAACCGUUCAGCCGGGCACUCAAAGGAGACUGCCAGUGAUAAACUGGAGGAAGGUGGGGAUGACGUCAAGUCAUCAUGCCCCUUAUGAGUAGGGCUACACACGUGCUACAAUGGUGCAUACAAAGAGAAGCAACCUCGCGAGAGCAAGCCAACCUCAUAAAGUGUGUCGUAGUCCGGAUUGGAGUCUGCAACUCGACUCCAUGAAGUGGGAAUCGUUAGUAAUSGUAGAUCACAAUCCUACGGGGAAUACUUUCCCGGCCUUGGUCCCCCCCCCCCUUCCCACCAGGGGAGUGGGUUCCAAAAGAAGUAGGUAAGUUAACCGU
rnacentral:rRNA from 1 species